rnacentral:rRNA from 1 species
GACGAACGCUGGCGGCGUGCCUAUUACAUGCAAGUCGAGCGGACAGAAGGGAGCUUGCUCCCGGAAGUUAGCGGCGGACGGGUGAGUAACACGUGGGCAACCUACCCUGUAGAUCGGGAUAACAUCGAGAAAUCGGUGCUAAUACCGGAUAAUCAUUUGAAGUGCAUGCUUCGAAUGUAAAAGAUGGCUCCGGCUAUCACUACGGGAUGGGCCCGCGGCGCAUUAGCUAGUUGGUAAGGUAAUGGCUUACCAAGGCAACGAUGCGUAGCCGACCUGAGAGGGUGAUCGGCCACACUGGGACUGAGACACGGCCCAGACGCCUACGGGAGGCAGCAGUAGGGAAUCUUCCGCAAUGGACGAAAGUCUGACGGAGCAACGCCGCGUGAGUGAUGAAGGUUUUCGGAUCGUAAAGCUCUGUUGUUAGGGAAGAACAAGUGCCGUUUGAAUAAGGCGGCACCUUGACGGUACCUAACCAGAAAGCCACGGCUAACUACGUGCCAGCCGCCGCGGUAAGAC